GUUCGAUUAGUUCAGUUAUUAGAGCGUUGCACACUUAAAGUGCAAAGGUCGGGAGUUAGAUCCUCUCAUCGAACG